rnacentral:rRNA from 1 species
CCCGCUGAACUUAAGCAUAUCAAUAAGCGGAGGAAAAGAAACCAACCGGGAUUGCCUCAGUAACGGCGAGUGAAGCGGCAACAGCUCAAAUUUGAAAGCCAACUUCUUCGAAGUUCGCAUUGUAAUUUGUAGAGGAUGUCUCGUGGAAGGCACCGCCCUAAGUCCCUUGGAACAGGGCGUCAUAGAGGGUGAGAAUCCCGUAUGGGGGCGGAUGCCGGACGCAUGUGAGACUCCUUCGACGAGUCGAGUUGUUUGGGAAUGCAGCUCUAAUUGGGAGGUAAAUUUCUUCUAAAGCUAAAUAUCGCCUGGAGACCGAUAGCGCACAAGUAGAGUGAUCGAAAGAUGAAAAGCACUUUGAAAAGAGAGUCAAACAGCACGUGAAAUCGUUGAAAGGGAAGCGGUUGCAAUCAGACUCGCUCGUAGGGGAUCAGCCGUCGUUCUCGGCGGCGCACUCCCCUGGGAUCGGGCCAGCAUCGGUUCUGAUGGUUGGAGAAAGGCGGCGGGAAUGUGGCUUCCUCCGGGAAGUGUUAUAGCCCGCCGUGCAAUACAACCUAUCGGGACCGAGGUCCGCGCUUCGGCUAGGAUGCUGGCGUAAUGGUUGUAACCAUCCCGUCUUGAAACACGG